UAUCAAGGUUGGUUGGCAGUUGGUGGAGAUGGCUGCUUCCCCACAUUCCAAAGAUGAUGGCUGUGAGAGCUAAACUGAAAGCAGGACCAGUGGUCUAAAGAUUAACAGUCUGUAAGUCUACUUCAACUGUUGCAGGAAACCACCUUCAGAAGAAUACCAAACACCUAUUUUAAGGCCUUUGAUUGAUUCAAAAGAGACAUCCAGAAAUCCCAUCUUGGUGAUACGGCUUACAUUUGGAACCAUACAGUAAUGAGUUGCUGAAUAAUGUUCAAAUCAUCAUAAUCCACAGCCAAC